AUGCCGUGCAUGGCACGCGGGCUUGGAAUAUCCUAUUUGCCGAUCGUUGCGUCAAACUGCCGGUACUUCGCACAGGCGAGCGACCGAGCAGCGACGCAACGGGACAGCCCGUUUAACCGUUCCAGCACUCCCGGUUUUGGGAACCUUCUAGAGGCAGACAAGCACGGCGGCACAGGGCGGGCCACGGGCCGGGCACAGCCCGGGCCGGGUCUGUCACGUGCAGGCACGCGAAAUUCAACACGUUUGGCCAGGUUUGGCCCCGACCCGCCGCUCCCCCACCCCCCCCUCAUUCCCAUCCCCGACUCGCCGCGGCCCCGCCCCCCACCCCGAUCCCCGACCCGCCGCCGCACUCCCCACCAUCGCCGCACCCCGGCGGGCACUGCCCUAAUCGGAUCCAACCAUGAUAUCCGAGACGCAGUGCGCCCCGCUCCGGCGAUAUCCCCCAAUUACUUACUCUCGUUCCAGAGCGCGAUGGCGAGAUCUGGCGGCAAGCGAGGCGUGAUGGAGCACCACUGCCUGAACCGGUUCCGCCGCCGGCGACUCCUCGCCUUCCUCCGCCGCAACAAUCUUCCCUCCACCUUGGACGCGCUGAAGCACGAGACGCGCGUCUUUCUCGAUCUGCGCUUCCUGCGGCGCCUGGUGGCGGACGGCCGGUGGCAGCAGGCGCGAGAGUACUUCAGCCGCUUCCUGCCGUGCCGGAAUGAGGUCGACGCGCACACCGCGCUCAGAUUCAUCACUCGCCUCAGCGUUCUCGACGACAUGGCCCAGGGGAAGCUGGGGUGCAUCGAUGCGGCCGAUGAUCUCCGGACCCAACUCGAGUCUUACCCUUCCAGCAUGAUCGAGGCCGACCCGCACUACGCCGAUGCUGUCUGCGCAAUCUUAUACAAUGGCUCUCACCCGGCUUACUGGGAUCCCGUGGACUGGCGGCUCAUUAGGCUCAAAGCCGCACAGGUUGUCAAGGACUUGGUCACGCGAACCACUGAGCAUCUGCUGCGGUUGCCGCGGUGUCCAAGCCACCCAUGUUACACCAUCCCCUUCGGGUUUGGGGGUUGCCGGAGGCAUAAGAGGAAGAACAUAGGCUGGAUGUCGGCAUCUCUUCUUGCCCGCCGUUUUCUUCAGAAAGAGAGGCGUCCUUCCUCACCAUGCACUCAAGGGUUAUCGUGUGAACCUAUGGAUUUGGAGGAAAUUAUUGAUGAAACUUUGCUAGCUGGGAAGCAGGAGGUCAAAGAACAUUCAGAUUCUUGCAGUGAAGGCAUUCCAACAGUACCUGCUAAUGCAGGCGCGCCGGCAUUGGGCUUGCUGGCGUCCUUAGGGGCGAUUGUGCCCUCUGCCCCAGCGCCGUCCGCCCUCGUCCUCACCCCGGAGCAGACGACAGCCGCAAUCCUGGAAUUACGGCAGGCCGUGGCGGGCAUCAGGGCCUUCCUCGUUGGGCCCUAUGUGGCCCAACAGCCUCCUCCGCCGCCACACCAACAGCAGCUACCCCUGCCACCACCGCCCUCGGACGCGCCCACGGCGCCGGAUGUCGUCAAUGCAGUGGACGCUGAUCAUGUUUUAAAUAAAGUAAAGGCCCUGGGAGACAUUUCAAAUGCCAUGAUCAUGCUAGUGAAGUACACAUCCACACAUGGUCCAGAUCCCAGGAUGUUCGUGGAGAAAUUAAUGGAGCAGGAGAAGCUGUUAUUCGAACUGCGAUUAGAUUGCAUAAAUGCAAUGAUAAGAGGCUGUAUUUCCGCUCCGAUCCGGGUGAGGCAUUUCCACGAGCACGUCACGGCCGCGCCACCCCACCGCUGCCAUGUUGUAAGGCAGGCGGCAGAACUGGUUCGAGCAAACACGCGUGGGCUGCCUUCGUGUUUGCUUGCUGAAGUUGCCUGUGAUCAGUUUUGCCGUUCUCUUUCUCUUUCUCUACCGUGUUUUGAUGGCGCCCGAGUGAUGCAAGAAUCAUCACCGUUCUCUUUCUCUGCCUUUCUGUAUAGGGGUGCGGAGCACCCGAGAGCUCCUGUGUAUUUUCCCUCGAUGCAGCCUCUUUUGUGGAGGAAGGAGUUGGAGUUACUCAGAGUACUUGGUGGGAGCGGCGACAACGAUAUUUCCGGAUUGUGUGGACAUCUCUACCUUGAUCGGGAAGGUCAAAUUUAA
rnacentral:rRNA from 1 species